GCUGAUGGAAUCGGCCGCCUCUCCCAUGGAGCCCGUGGUCGGUUCGGCCCACAGGAGGACUGUGGAUGGGCUGUGAUGUCACCCCCUCUGGGGUUCUGGGACGCACUGAGAAACAUGGAUCCUGCCGGACUGCAGGAGACUGGGCAGGCAUCCACAGAUGCUAGGACACACUUCAAAGUCUGCAGGUUCAUCAUGGAGGCAGGUGUGAAGCUGGGACUGCGCUCCAUCCCUGUAGCCACGGCAUGCACCAUCUAUCACCGGUUCUUCACGGAGGUGCCGCUGGAGCCGUACGAUCCCUACCUAGUGGCUAUGGCUGCCCUUUAUCUGGCUGGGAAGGUAGAAGAGCAGCAUCUGCGGACGAGGGACAUCAUCAACGUGAGCCACAGAUAUCUGCACCCCCAGAGUGACCCCCUGGAGCUUGACACCCACUUCUGGGAGCUGAGGGACAGCAUUGUCCAGUGUGAGCUGCUCAUGCUACGGGUGCUCUGCUUCCGUGUCUCCUUCCAGCACCCGCAUAAGUACCUUCUCCACUACUUGCUGUCCCUGAAGCACUGGAUGAAUCGGCACAGCUGGGAUCGGACCCCGGUGGCCGUGGCGGCCUGGGCCUUGCUGCGGGACAGCUACCACGGGUCGCUGUGCCUGCGCCAUGCGCCUCAGCACAUCGCCGUGACCGUCCUUUACCUUGCCCUGCAGUGCUACGGGGUGGAGGUGCCUGCCGAUGCUGAAGCGGAGCGGCCUUGGUGGCAGGUUUUCAGUGAAGAUCUCUCCAAGAGCAUCAUUGACCAGAUUGUCUUGGACUUGAUACGGAUUUAUGCAUUGGAUGCAGAGGUCUCUUAAGCACAGCGUUGGGGGAAAUCAACUAACACAAAACAGGACUUGAAAAGGGAAUAUCCGUUGGAAGCUGGUGGGGCCAUCAGACUGGAUUCCCAACGAAGCCAUGGACCCACUGUGUUUCCUUUGCUGACAAGGGUUUCUUGGAAGGGUGGAGAAACCCAUUUGCCAUCCACAACAUGGUUCCUAAAAAAGAAAUGUAAUCAUCAUCAAAAAGAACAGAAAAACCAGAUAAAGCAUUUCCAAGAUGCAAGAAGUGGGGAAGACCAAAGGCCAUAAUGGAUAUCAAUUUCCCAACGAGCUGCUGGAAGGGAGGAAGAGAGUUUAAUAUAAAGGCAGCAUUAAAAAAAGAAAGAGAGAGAGAGAGAGAGAGAGAGAGAGAAACAACUGAUAAAAUGCCAGCAAAGAUUACAAGGCCAUACUCGAAGGUUUACACAGUAGGGUGCACCCCAAUUGAAAAGCAAGACCAGUGCAUGUCAUAUUGAAAGGCACUAUGAAUCUACCACGCGACAUACAAUGCUGGCAUGACCACCAGCAUGGCUCUGAUUAGUAGGAAAACCAAAACAAAAAAGAAAGAGAGGGAGAAGAGGAGAAGGAGGAGCAAGAGGAGAAGAAAGAAGGAAUUGUUGGAAUACUCUAACCCAACCAAUUUGCCAAGAAUAUCUAGUCUGGCAGCUGGAGAACUGAAGAAGUGACAGCUUACCUCUUUGGAUCUCUCAUUGUUAUGCCAAAAAAUGAAAAACAAAUGCAGAAAGUUUCUUUUCAAGAAGCAGUAAGAGGAAAUCAAGACUCACUCCCGGUACCGGUGCUGGCAUUUGCGGCGGAGAGAAUUACGUGAGUGGGGGUAGAAAUAUUGGUUACAUCGUGCAGUUGACUGAGGACGGAAGAGCGGCGUCGGACAGCCCCCUGAAAGGAGCCGCUUCUCUUGAAGGUGCUAACUACCUCCAUCUGCAGGAGAGAAAAUGAGAUAGAAAAUUUGGAUGGCAGCGGGCAGCGGCUGCAGUGGAACAGCGCGUGCCAGCCGGAAUUGGCCAUGCUGUGUAUUCAGCCUCUUGCCACAGGCUUUGAAGCAUUAUGUGCCAGAGGCCAGCUGGUGGGAGUUGGCACCACACUAAUGUUCUUUUAUGGGAAGAGCAAAUUGCACCAGCAGAAGAUCGAGGCAACUGGUCACACCUGAAGGCUCAAUUUCUAUUUUAUACAAAGUACAAACCCAUGGCACAUCAUACUGGAAGACAACAAUUGGUUGUGAACCAUUCGAUUAAGAGCACAAUUCAAGGUAUAACUGUGAUAACUUUGUUGGGGAAGGUGGGGAAAAAAUAAGAUAGUCACAAUGUCGUAUCAUUUUCAACAGGUUCAUUCACUAGGCUAUUGUCUGGGACAAGGAGUACUGCCGUAAACAAGGGAUGAUCAUAAAACCUUUUGCACAUUUCAGAAUGUUGUAUAAUUGAACAGUAAUGCAGAUCUAUCUCAGAUAUCCCAUUCUUUCCCAACAUUUAGCUCCAUUCUAGUGUGAUCAAGGAACUGUACCCUAGAUAGAAGUUUUACUGAUGGAGGGGUGGAAGUAAAUGUAAAUAAGAGAAGGUUUGAUGCUUCAUGAAUGGAAUGACCAGGAGCAAAAAGUCUUUUUAAAUCUAGCUUAAUGGUGUCCCUCUUUUAUUUCAUUAUUGUACAAUCACUGGGACUCAUUCCUAUAGUGAAAAGUGCAGCCCUAUUUUUAUUCCACUGUCCAACAAAAGGUUCCAAAGCAGUUGAGGUACUGCGGGGCAGGGGGGGGAGGUGUUAACCAUGUGUUAAUCAAGUUGUUUAUGGCCUCAGCAAGGAUGAGCUUCCACAGAUGAGAAAAAAUUCAUGAAACUACACAUAUCUUUAGGACAGCUUCUCAUGCACUCAUUUGUGCUUGGGUACAGGCAAGCUGUAUAAAAAUGCACAGGAAUUGUCCCAUCAUUUGUUGUGGAAGAAUUGCAAAAUGCAAGGAUGCAGUUAUGUAAAUACUGCACUUCCUCCUGUGGGAUCCUUGCCCAGGAGGGUAAAGUCUUGCAGGCUGAAGUUUAGGGAGCCGAUUUUACUUUGUCUACAACUGACUUGGUCUAGGGAAGUGGUGAACAAGCUGCUGUGCAAAUGCAGCAAACCCCCUUUGUUCUUGUCAACCUCACUCUGGUCAUCAUCAAUGGCAGCAACAUCAUCACUGAUGCCCAAGCAGCAUGGUGGGGUGACCAUCACUGGCUCAGUGUCCCUUAGGCUGAUCAUUAAUCUUUUUGUAUUUACCAUGUUUUUUUCCCCUCUUCCCCCAAUAUUUUUCUGGGGAUCAAUUUUUGCAAACCCCAAGAAGACAGCUGUGACAGCCCUUCCAAAGUGCUCAAGGUACACACUGAAUAGUCUGUCAUUGGUUCACCACCUUGUUGUUGUUGUUUUUAAGCACAAGAUGUUUCUGCAAAUAUUUCCAUUAUUUUCGUUUUAAAGAAGGAUUUAGGCAGGGCUAAACAGGAUAAUUUUGACAAGAAUGCAUAUACCUAUUUCCUUGCCAAAACCAUGCUGCUUAUCUCUGCCUAAAUCUAUGAAUUAAAAGGAAGCUGUCAAAAGUAAGUUUACAUGGAUAUGGGGAGUCUUGGGAAGGUUGGAAGAAGCAGAAAACAAUGGGGGAAACAUUAAAAACCCAGAGAGAUGAUCUCCCUGUAAAUGGGGGAGUCCGCCCACUCUUUUUCACAAGCAAAAAUCUCUUGUAGCUUUUCUUUUUCUUGACAGCUAAGCCUUUGACAGCUAUUAAGAGAGCACAAAGUGAAAAAUGCAGCCCCUCUGGGUCAACAUCUAUGGUGGCUGCCUUGCACUUUGACACCUCCCCAGAUAUUGCCCAGGUGAGAUUUUCCAUUUUGGCCCCUGCAAGCACCUACCCCUGCAUUUGAUUAGAUGUUAGAUAUAUUUCUGUAAAUUUCUUGUGCUUGACAAAAAAGUGUUGUGGUGACCCAGUGGCAGCCCUUCCAAGGUGCCAUUUAGCAACUUUGUAGGGGCUGUUACCUUGGAGAUUGUGGAAAGAAAUCUUUGCAAAAAGGAGAUGUGGUGAGGAGAAAAAAAGCCAUUGCAAGAGCAAAAUGGCAGUGGGGACAGAAGACAAGGACUUUAGUGGGUGGACCAAAAGGGCAUUGGGGGCACAUUUUACAGUAAGUCCAUUGUAUUUGUGGGGUGGGCUGCCAUGUUCUGCAAACUCACCCACUGUAUAAAAAGUCCUUUUUCAUGCUUGGAAGAUUGCAUGCAUCUUGCAAAUGUACCUCAGUUCUUGAUUCUAUUAAUGUAUUUUCUUGUGUUUAAUGUUAAUGAUUAAAUGAACAGAAAAAUGAUAAAGGAAAGAAAUCAAAUUCA